rnacentral:tRNA from 1 species
GCGGGCGUAGUUCAGCGGUAGAACGUCAGCUUCCCAAGCUGAAUGUCGUCGGUUCGAUCCCGAUCGCCCGCU